UAGGGAAUCUUCGGCAAUGGGGGCAACCCUGACCGAGCAACGCCGCGUGAGUGAAGAAGGUUUUCGGAUCGUAAAGCUCUGUUGUAAGAGAAGAACGUGUGUGAGAGUGGAAAGUUCACACAGUGACGGUAACUUACCAGAAAGGGACGGCUAACUACGUGCCAGCAGCCGCGGUAAUACGUAGGUCCCGAGCGUUGUCCGGAUUUAUUGGGCGUAAAGCGAGCGCAGGCGGUUUAAUAAGUCUGAAGUUAAAGGCAGUGGCUUAACCAUUGUUCGCUUUGGAAACUGUUAAACUUGAGUGCAGAAGGGGAGAGUGGAAUUCCAUGUGUAGCGGAGAAAUGCGUAGAUAUAUGGAGGAACACCGGUGGCGAAGGCGGCUCUCUGGUCUGUAACUGACGCUGAGGCUCGAAAGCGUGGGGAGCAAACAGG
rnacentral:rRNA from 1 species